rnacentral:rRNA from 1 species
UACGAAGGGGGCUAGCGUUGCUCGGAAUCACUGGGCGUAAAGCGCACGUAGGCGGAUCUUUAAGUCAGGGGUGAAAUCCCAAGGCUCAACCUUGGAACUGCCUUUGAUACUGGGGAUCUCGAGUCCGGAAGAGGUGAGUGGAACUGCGAGUGUAGAGGUGAAAUUCGUAGAUAUUCGCAAGAACACCAGUGGCGAAGGCGGCUCACUGGUCCGGUACUGACGCUGAGGUGCGAAAGCGUGGGGAGCAAGCAGG